UACGUAGGGGGCAAGCGUUGUCCGGAAUCAUUGGGCGUAAAGAGCGUGUAGGCGGCCCGGUAAGUCCGCUGUGAAAGUCGGGGGCUCAACCCUCGAAUGCCGGUGGAUACUGUCGGGCUUGAGUGCGGAAGAGGCGAGUGGAAUUCCUGGUGUAGCGGUGAAAUGCGCAGAUAUCAGGAGGAACACCAAUUGCGAAGGCAGCUCGCUGGGACGUAACUGACGCUGAGACGCGAAAGCGUGGGGAGCAAACAGG
rnacentral:rRNA from 1 species